rnacentral:rRNA from 1 species
UACGUAGGGUGCAAGCGUUGUCCGGAAUUAUUGGGCGUAAAGAGCUCGUAGGCGGUCUGUCACGUCGGCUGUGAAAACCCGAGGCUCAACCUCGGGCCUGCAGUCGAUACGGGCAAACUAGAGUACUGCAGGGGAGACUGGAAUUCCUGGUGUAGCGGUGAAAUGCGCAGAUAUCAGGAGGAACACCGGUGGCGAAGGCGGAUCUCUGGGCCGUAACUGACGCUGAGGAGCGAAAGCAUGGGGAGCGAACAGG